AUGCUCACUUCAGCAGCACGUAUACUAAAAUUGGACUGAUUUAGAGAAGAUUAGCAUGGACCCCUGCACAAGGAUGACAUACAAAUUCAUGAAGCAGUCCAUUUUUUU